UUGAAUUUUUGUUAUAGAUUACUCAAGGUUGAUUUGUUUCUCUGUAGAUGUUAUUUCUGUGGUGGUUGACUACAGAAACACUAAAUAGUCAUAAGAGAUUAUUAUUAUUGUCACCAUUAUAACUACAGUAAAAGAUGAUUGAAACUGUCCAGGAUUUGUAUUAAGCUACAGUUUGUGUUGAAUACAAGGAAGUGCAACUUCCAACCCUGAUGAAGAAGAUGUUUCCAGGGGACCCAGUCACUCCCGACUAACAAAUAUGUAUUUACCAGGCAAUAGGCUGCUGCUAAGCCAACCCUCAAAGAAAAGCAUGAACUCAAUAGGAAAUAAUGGCUAAAAACAUAUUUGGUAUAAGAAAAGAUAAAAUAAGCAAUUGCAGAUUCAGCAUGGCAUCCAGAAAGGCCAAGUAGUUUAUGAGCUGCAGGCCCAACAAUCGAAUCAGUGUCACACAGUCUGUUCUGACAUUGACUUUUCAAGCUAAUUGCCUCUUGAUCAUGACUCCAUAGGAGCAGGUGAUAUCAGGACAGAAUCAACCAGAAAACUAGUUAUCUGCAGGAAAGGACAGAAUUGACUCUGCCUUUAGGUUCACAGAGUAGCUGUCAUUGUCGUCACUCAGGCAUAUGAAUCUAUGUGAUUCUUGGAAAAUGUGGGACAAGGAGGUCUGUCAUGAGAGCUAUAGCCAAUUGGAGGGACACGGUCUAAUAGUCCAGCACAGUAAAAAGUAAAAAUAUGGGUUUUUUCCCCUAACCGGUGAAUUAAUAAAGUAUGUGUAGCCAUUACCCAAAGACUUGUGUGUCCCUCUGGGAAUAAAAUAUGUAUUUAGUUGUAUCUCUUUAGAAGAUUCACUUAGUGUAAAAUAGAAAGACAGCUCUGAUUAGGGCAGGAUUCUUCACAAUUAGAUCGAGAGCUAUAAAAGUAGAAGGAUAAAUUUGACUAAAAAAUGUAGGGAAUUUCAGACUCUCGGAGGGAAAUGUGGGGAGAUUUCAAGAGGCCGGGGUGUUCGAACCCAAGUCAAGCCAGCAAACACCUCCAGGAGCUGGUGUGUGACCUUCACCUUCAUCCCCAGGCUGAUUUCCAAUAGAAAGAAGCUGAAACCCAAAUCACGCCUGGCUCUGUUCCUUCACAGCGCCCUCCCGCGACCAAUGGCAUUCUUCUUCCCUAAACCAAGGUGAUCUCAAUGGAAACUUUUUCUUUCCUCUUUUCCAGGUAAUUUAAAAAGAAAUAAAUAAGUAUCCAAAAGCCAACCCAGAGAGGAAAACCCUUUGGAAAGAAAGGAUGCUGGCUCACUCGUUGUCUCCCCGUGUGGGCAGUGGACUGCCGGGCACGCAGGCUGGGCACGUGCAUCUGUUAGCUGGGGAAAGAAUUCACUGCGGCGAUUGGGCGAUCGUUUGUGACUCCUAAAUGCAGCUGCUCUGCAAUGUGCCAAGUGUUCACACAGAAAAUCAUCAAACUCCAGGGAAGGGGGAGGGGGAGGGACACUUGGAAAAACUGAGUAUUGGAGUUUUGGAGCAGGUUGAGAGGUAACAGGAGGGGGAAGAUUUCAUCUCUGAGGUGGUCCCAUUUUAAAUAUGUUUUAGCCUUCUUACAGAAAGUGGCUCUCUGUACAGUUUACACACCGCCUGCCAGCCACUGCUCCCUGGCCUCUUCUGCCACCUUCCUUUUAAAGCAACAGCUGCUCAUUCAUGGGACUGUGCAAACACCUGGGCUUCUUGCGUGUGUGUGUGUGUGUGUGUGUGUGUGUGUGUGUGUGUGUGUGUGUGAGAGAGAGAGAGAGAGAGAGAGAGAGAGUGCACUUUAUGAGCUUUGUGAAAUAGAAGGCUGCAGUCAGCCUUAGAAGAUGCCAAGGAGGAAAGGAGGAGAGAGGCUGGUAAGGGGUGCCCUCCCAGACAGUAGAGAGUGGAGGAAAAUAGGAUCAUCUCAAACCUAUGAUCUCACUGAACUCACUGAAAGCAAGACCAAAAUAGUUUUGUCUCAAAGAUGCUUGUUCUGACCAAGCUUUACUGCAAUGCUGUAGCAAUGGCGCACAGAGUCCAGACUCAGGAGUCAGAUGCCCCUGGCUUUGAGUCCCUUCUCUGCCCUGUGACCUCUGCUUGUUCUUGGGCAGGUUGUCUAAUCCGUCUCAGGCAAAACUGCAUCACCUGUGAAAUGGAGACAACAAACCUCUACCUCAUGAGAUGCUUGGAAAGAUUAAUUAGGUUAGUGCAACCUGGGCAUAAUAAGCUAGUGGAAAACAAGUAUUAGCUCUAUUAUAUCAGGCAAUGUGAUAGGCUAACUUAUUCUUUAUGACAUACUAGUUGUUAUAAUGUCAUAAAAUGUUGUUAUGGAAUAAAAUUUCUAGUUCUUGAGGAAUUAAGAGACUCUCACUCUGUCAUCCGAAGAGAAAAAAAUUCUCCUUAAGACAACAUGCCUGUUUUCUAGUUUCUUUCACCUAUAGAUAGCCAUGAUACAACACUUCAAUGUAUUGUUUGUAUUCUACAUUGACUCAAGCGUUCUACUAAAACUCAUGAGGAGUGAAAGAAAGAGUAAUGUGAAUAUAGAAUUACUAAAUCCAACAUGGCGCAGUUUGUAAUUGUUUUGCUUUCAUUUUGUAGAACAUGGAGCAGCUCAACAGAGUUAUCUGCCAGCAGUUCUUCAGUGACAAGCCAGUGAGCUCAAGUGGAAGAUGGAUGGGUGAUUUCGCUUUUCAGGCCCCAAAGCAAAGUAGACUUGGCAAGGAGAAUGGACUAUUUGUGAAGAAAAGCCUAAAGAUGACUUGAAUCUGAUGCUUCCCUGCCGUUAUGUCCAGAAUCCUGCAAUACGUCUUCUGAACGUCUCUGCUGAAAAUUUCAAUGCCUCCUGUAAAGAGAAAGAAGGGAAAGAAGAGAACAGGUUAAUUCUCUUUACAAAUGAAGAGACAUAAAAUAAAGGAUGUAAAUUAAGGAACACAGAAUCACAAUAGAAAGAGAUUCAGGGGACUGCUUGUAAAUAUCUUUUACAGAAGGUGCUUGUGGGAUCCACCUGACUUUCUAGAACCUCUGCUACAGGCCGAGUCUUUAAUCUGAUGAAAUAGUCAAUGUACAGCAGAAAGGAAAAUGGGUAAGGGACAAAUUUGAGAAUUCAGAAAUAAGGCCAGGCUGUGCAAUACAUCAUUAAAUACACCUUGCUUAGAAGUUUAUUCCCGGUGAUGCCCAACAGAGGUGAUGCACAGCUUGCUUAUUCUGUUCAGGUUCUCAUUGGGCCAAUCUCUCACUAAGAUAAUGGGCUGUUGUGAGGGUAGAGUGUGUGAUUUGGGGUAAAGGUUAGAAGGAUGUGUAAUUAAACAAAGUAUGUUUGAUUUGAUGAUAUCUGUCCUUCUUUAGCUGUCCUUAAACACUAAUGAAUAAAACUAUCAUUGGACUUUAGUUUUUGAAGCCAAAACUAAGAUAGAAUUGCUGCUAGUUUUUUGACUGAAUCUUGCAUUAGAGAUUGGGAAAGCCCAUUUUAAAUUAGAGAAUAAGAAUCAAUUAAUUUAAAAGUAUAAAAUAACAAUAUUUCACAUCACUGUGUUUGUUUUAUUACCCAGAAUAAGUUACCACUUGGGACUGACACCUUUUCGAACCCUUUUAAACACUGUAAUGACAGUAUUUUAAGAUGAACUAGUGACUUUUUCUCUGCUUUUCUCUCUCCUUUUCUCUCCUCUCUGUGUGGUCUAUUUCAGGGAAUACAUAUUGGUGUCAAGGAAACAACUACGGAAUGGAAUCUGAUUGGCUGUGUCACUGCAUUAACAGCCAGAGUUUUACAUGGCAGACCUACCAAGAAGCAAACUCUUGACAAUUUAGGAAUUUUAUGUGCAGCUUGAAGAAUGAAAAACAAGUUUAGCAUUUAGGGGGUUUUAAUGUCUUAAGGAAUUGACCUCUUCACCAAGAGUCUUGUUUGGAAUGAUGAAAUAGCUCCUAGUUACACAGAAAAAAAAAUAGUUUACGAUUAAAAUUUUAAAUGGUAGGUGGAUAUGGAUGGAUGCUAUGAAUAAAGUCCAAAAGGCAACUGUCAAACUCAA